rnacentral:rRNA from 1 species
UUGGGCGUAAGAGCUCGCUAGGCGGUUUGUCGCGUCUGCUGUGAAAACCCGAGGCUCAACCUCGGGCUUGCAGUGGGUACGGGCAGACUAGAGUGCGGUAGGGGAGAUUGGAAUUCCUGGUGUAGCGGUGGAAUGCGCAGAUAUCAGGAGGAACACCGAUGGCGAAGGCAGAUCUCUGGGCCGUAACUGACGCUGAGGAGCGAAAGCAUGGGGAGCAAACAGGCUUAGAUACCCUGGUAGUCCAUGCCGUAAACGUUGGGAACUAGAUGUGGGGACCAUUCCACGGUCUCCGUGUCGUAGCUAACGCAUUAAGUUCCCCGCCUGGGGAGUACGGCCGCAAGGCUAAAACUCAAAGGAAUUGACGGGGGCCCGCACAAGCGGCGGAGCAUGCGGAUUAAUUCGAUGCAACGCGAAGAACCUUACCAAGGCUUGACAUAUACGAGAACGCGCUGGAGACAGCGAACUCUUUGGACACUCGUAUACAGGUGGUGCAUGGUUGUCGUCAGCUCGUGUCGUGAGAUGUUGGGUUAAGUCCCGCAACGAGCGCAACCCUCGUCCUAUGUUGCCAGCACGUCAUGGUGGGAACUCAUGGGAUACUGCCGGGGUCAACUCGGAGGAAGGUGGGGAUGAGGUCAAAUCAUCAUGCCCCUUAUGUCUUGGGCUUCACGCAUGCUACAAUGGCCGGUACAAUGGGCUGCGAUACCGCAAGGUGGAGCGAAUCCCAAAAAGCCGGUCUCAGUUCGGAUUGAGGUCUGCAACUCGACCUCAUGAAGUCGGAGUCGCUAGUAAUCGUAGAUCAGCAACGCUACGGUGAAUACGUUCCCGGGCCUUGUACACACCGCCCGUCAAGUCAUGAAAGUC